rnacentral:rRNA from 1 species
CUGGCUCAGGAUGAACGCUGGCGGCGUGCCUAAUACAUGCAAGUCGAACGCUUCACUUCGGUGAAGAGUGGCGAACGGGUGAGUAAUACAUAAGUAACCUGGCAUCUACAGGGGGAUAACUGAUGGAAACGUCAGCUAAGACCGCAUAGGUGUAGAGAUCGCAUGAACUCUAUAUGAAAAGUGCUACGGGACUGGUAGAUGAUGGACUUAUGGCGCAUUAGCUUGUUGGUAGGGUAACGGCCUACCAAGGCGACGAUGCGUAGCCGACCUGAGAGGGUGACCGGCCACACUGGGACUGAGAUACGGCCCAGACUCCUACGGGAGGCAGCAGUAGGGAAUUUUCGGCAAUGGGGGAAACCCUGACCGAGCAACGCCGCGUGAAGGAAGAAGUAAUUCGUUAUGUAAACUUCUGUCAUAGAGGAAGAACGGUGGAUAUAGGGAAUGAUAUCCAAGUGACGGUACUCUAUAAGAAAGCCACGGCUAACUACGUGCCAGCAGCCGCGGUAAUACGUAGGUGGCGAGCGUUAUCCGGAAUUAUUGGGCGUAAAGAGGGAGCAGGCGGCACUAAGGGUCUGUGGUGAAAGAUCGAAGCUUAACUUCGGUAAGCCAUGGAAACCGUAGAGCUAGAGUGUGUGAGAGGAUCGUGGAAUUCCAUGUGUAGCGGUGAAAUGCGUAGAUAUAUGGAGGAACACCAGUGGCGAAGGCGACGAUCUGGCGCAUAACUGACGCUCAGUCCCGAAAGCGUGGGGAGCAAAUAGGAUUAGAUACCCUAGUAGUCCACGCCGUAAACGAUGAGUACUAAGUGUUGGGUGUCAAAGCUCAGUGCUGUAGUUAACGCAAUAAGUACUCCGCCUGAGUAGUACGUUCGCAAGAAUGAAACUCAAAGGAAU